UACGUAGGGCGCAAGCGUUGUCCGGAAUUAUUGGGCGUAAAGAGCUCGUAGGCGGUUUGUCGCGUCUGUCGUGAAAGCUUGGGGCUUAACCCCAAGUCUGCGGUGGAUACGGGCAGACUUGAGUUCGGUAGGGGAGACUGGAAUUCCUGGUGUAGCGGUGAAAUGCGCAGAUAUCAGGAGGAACACCGGUGGCGAAGGCGGGUCUCUGGGCCGAUACUGACGCUGAGGAGCGAAAGCUAGGGUAGCAAACGGG
rnacentral:rRNA from 1 species